AGCCAGACUCCUACGGGAGGCAGCAGUGGGGGAUAUUGCACAAUGGGGGGAACCCUGAUGCAGCGACGCCGCGUGGGCGAGGGAGCGCCUCGGCGCGUAAAGCCCUUUCGGCGGGGGAGAACGAUGACGGUACCCGACGAAGAAGCACCGGCUAAAUACGUGCCAGCAGCCGCGGUAAUACGUAGGGGGCAAGCGUUAUCCGGAUUCACUGGGUGUAAAGGGAGCGUAGACGGCGACGCAAGUCUGGAGUGAAAGCCCGGGGCCCAACCCCGGGACUGCUCUGGAAACUGCGUCGCUGGAGUACGGGAGGGGCAGGCGGAAUUCCUGGUGUAGCGGUGAAAUGCGUAGAUAUCAGGAGGAACACCGGCGGCGAAGGCGGCCUGCUGGACCGUGACUGACGUUGAGGCUCGAGAGCGUGGGGAGCAAACAGGAUUAGAUACCCCAGUA
rnacentral:rRNA from 1 species